GUAAUGCUUAGGAAUCUGCCUAUUAGUGGGGGACAACAUCUCGAAAGGGAUGCUAAUACCGCAUACGUCCUACGGGAGAAAGCAGGGGACCUUCGGGCCUUGCGCUAAUAGAUGAGCCUAAGUCGGAUUAGCUAGUUGGUGGGGUAAAGGCCUACCAAGGCGACGAUCUGUAGCGGGUCUGAGAGGAUGAUCCGCCACACUGGGACUGAGACACGGCCCAGACUCCUACGGGAGGCAGCAGUGGGGAAUAUUGGACAAUGGGGGGAACCCUGAUCCAGCCAUGCCGCGUGUGUGAAGAAGGCCUUUUGGUUGUAAAGCACUUUAAGCGAGGAGGAGGCUACCGAGAUUAAUACUCUUGGAUAGUGGACGUUACUCGCAGAAUAAGCACCGGCUAACUCUGUGCCAGCAGCCGCGGUAAUACAGAGGGUGCAAGCGUUAAUCGGAUUUACUGGGCAUAAAGCGCGCGUAGGUGGCCAAUUAAGUCAAAUGUGAAAUCCCCGAGCUUAACUUGGGAAUUGCAUUCGAUACUGGUUGGCUAGAGUAUGGGAGAGGAUGGUAGAAUUCCAGGUGUAGCGGUGAAAUGCGUAGAGAUCUGGAGGAAUACCGAUGGCGAAGGCAGCCAUCUGGCCUAAUACUGACACUGAGGUG
rnacentral:rRNA from 1 species